UGGGGAAUAUUGGACAAUGGGGGCAACCCUGAUCCAGCCAUGCCGCGUGAGUGAUGAAGGCCCUAGGGUUGUAAAGCUCUUUUGUGCGGGAAGAUAAUGACGGUACCGCAAGAAUAAGCCCCGGCUAACUUCGUGCCAGCAGCCGCGGUAAUACGAAGGGGGCUAGCGUUGCUCGGAAUCACUGGGCGUAAAGGGUGCGUAGGCGGGUCUUUAAGUCAGGGGUGAAAUCCUGGAGCUCAACUCCAGAACUGCCUUUGAUACUGAAGAUCUUGAGUAUGGGAGAGGUGAGUGGAACUGCGAGUGUAGAGGUGAAAUUCGUAGAUAUUCGCAAGAACACCAGUGGCGAAGGCGGCUCACUGGCCCAUAACUGACGCUGAGGCACGAAAGCGUGGGGAGCAAACA
rnacentral:rRNA from 1 species